GCCCAGGUGGUGAAAUAGGUAGACACAAGGGAUUUAAAAUCCCUCGGCUUUAAGGCUGUGCGGGUUCAAUCCCCGCCCUGGGCACCA
rnacentral:tRNA from 1 species